CCGCACGUAUCCCGAGCCCUCACC
rnacentral:miRNA from 1 species